CCUACGGGAGGCAGCAGUGGGGGAUAUUGCACAAUGGGGGGAACCCUGAUGCAGCGACGCCGCGUGGGUGAAGAAGCGCCUCGGCGCGUAAAGCCCUGUCAGCAGGGAAGAAAAUGACGGUACCUGAAGAAGAAGCCCCGGCUAACUACGUGCCAGCAGCCGAGGUAAUACGUAGGGGGCAAGCGUUAUCCGGAUUUACUGGGUGUAAAGGGGGCGCAGACGGCGAUGCAAGCCAGGGGUGAAAGCCCGGGGCCCAACCCCGGGACUGCGCUUGGAACUGCGUGGCUGGAGUGCAGGAGGGGCAGGCGGAAUUCCUGGUGUAGCGGUGGAAUGCGUAGAUAUCAGGAGGAACACCGGUGGCGAAGGCGGCCUGCUGGACUGCAACUGACGUUGAGGCCCGAAAGCGUGGGGAGCAAACAGGAUUAGAUACCCGAGUAGUC
rnacentral:rRNA from 1 species